GGUGGCUCAGUGGUAGAGUGCUUGCCUUACAUACAUGAGGUCCUGGGUUCGAUUCCUCAGCACCA
rnacentral:tRNA from 1 species